UACGUAGGGUGCAAGCGUUAAUCGGAAUUACUGGGCGUAAAGCGUGCGCAGGCGGUUAUGCAAGACAGAUGUGAAAUCCCCGGGCUUAACCUGGGAAUGGCAUUUUGAACUGGCAAUCUAGAGUGUGUCAGAGGGGGGUAGAAUUCCACGUGUAGCAGUGAAAUGCGUAGAGAUGUGGAGGAAUACCGAUGGCGAAGGCAGCCCCCUGGGAUAACACUGACGCUCAUGUACGAAAGCGUGGGUAGCAAACAGG
rnacentral:rRNA from 1 species